AACGCACCUUGCGCUCCUUGGUAUUCCGAGGAGCAUGCCUGUUUGAGUGUCAUUAAAUUCUCAAUCUCUACAGCCUUUGUGUUGUUUGGAUUGGAUGUGGGGGUUUCUGUGUGGGAUACGCCAUUCUUCACUCCCCUAAAAUGUAUUAGCUGGAAUGCCUCUGCAUAUCUGACUAUUAGUGUGAUAAUUAUCUACGCUCUAGUUAUUGCAUGGAGGGUAUCUGCUUCAUUAAUUGUCGAAAAGACAACCUAAUGAUCACCUUUGACCUCAAAUCAGGUAGGAUUACCCGCUGAACUUAA
rnacentral:misc_RNA from 2 species